GACGAACGCUGGCGGCGUGCUUAACACAUGCAAGUCGAACGACGUGGCGAACGGGUGAGUAAUACGUGAGUAACCUGCCCUCCUUUUUGGGAUAAGCCAUGGAAACCGGGUCUAAUACCGAAUAAAGGGGGUUGGCCCCGCGGCCUAUCAGCUUGUUGGGGGGGUGAUGGCCUACCAAGGCGGUGACGGGUAGCCGGCCUGGGAGGGUGCCCGGCCAAAUUGGGACUGGGAUACGGCCCAUACUGCUACGGGAGGGGGCAGUUGGGGAUAUUGCACAAAGGGCGAAAGCCUGAUGCAGCGGCGCCGGGUGGGGGAUGAAGGCUUUCGGGUUGUAAACCUCGUUGGCGAGCGAACGGGUAGGUGGAGAAGAAGCACCGGCUAACUACGUGCCAGCAGCCGCGGUAAUUC
rnacentral:rRNA from 1 species